rnacentral:rRNA from 1 species
UUAAAGGAAUUGACGGAAGGGCACCACCAGGAGUGGAGCCUGCGGCUUAAUUUGACUCAACACGGGGAACCUCACCCGGCCCGGACACAGUUAGGAUUGACAGAUUGAGAGUUCUUUCUUGAUUCUGUGGGUGGUGGUGCAUGGCCGUUCUUAGUUGGUGGAGCGAUUUGUCUGGUUAAUUCCGAUAACGAACGAGACUCAAUCCUGCUAACUAGUCCGCCGACUAUUCAGCCAGGCGACGACUUCUUAGAGGGACAGAUGUUAUAUAAGCAUACGAAACUGAGCAAUAACAGGUCUGUGAUGCCCUUAGAUGUUCGGGGCCGCACGCGCGCUACACUGAAUGGAUCAACGUGCCUUUCCCGAGGCUGAAAAGUCGAGGUAAUCCGUUGAACCCCAUUCGUGACGGGGAUAGGAGCUUGCAAUUAUUCUCCUUGAACGAGGAAUUCCCAGUAAGCGCGAGUCAUCAGCUCGCGUUGAUUACGUCCCUGCCCUUUGUACACACCGCCCGUCGCUACUACCGAUCGGAUUGUCCUGUGAAUUUCUAGGAGAGUAGAGAUUCUGGCGUUUCGGCGUCGGCGAUCUCAUGCUCGAAUUGAAUUGAACUGGACUCUCUAGAGGAAGUAAAAGUCGUAACAAGGUUUCC